UGAAUGAUAUUUGCUCUCCAAUGGUUAUUCUUAUGGAAAACAAAGCAGACACCUUUUAUUGUUUUGAGCGGGCAAUGCGCAGAUUGGUAUGCAUCUAUUUCAUUAUCAAAGGUGACAUUGUUAUUAAAACUAAUAAUGUGACCCAACUGCCUACUUUAUUUAAUUGCUCCUUCAUUCUUGAAUGUAGAAUUGAUCUGUUUUAGUGAAAAAUAGUUACUUGAGUUAGUUGGGUUUGGUAUUUAGUGAAUUCCAAUGGGAUGGGUAUACUUUUUUGGCCUUCUGGUUUCAAUUUUUGGGAUAUCAGCAUUAUUGCAUAGCUAGUUCCUGAACACCUGGAGUGUAGAAAUCCUACUCUCUGAUAGUAGUUGUUUCUCCAUAGGGCAAAAUAGUCAAACGAAAUCAGGCCAUGCCUACAAUUAGUAGGACUAAGGUUUUGUUGGGUAGAAUUGUUAACUUCAACUCUGAUUUCUAGCUUUUUGUUGACAGGCCAAGUGGGUGACAAACUUUUAGGGGAAUGCCUCACAUUUUUCUAGGUUAUGGUUGGUUUAUAUGUAUGCAGCAAUUAGGGCACUUUGAAGGUUCUUUAGUUUUUUUUACUACAGACUCUGACUACUCAAGUAUGUUGCAUUUAGCAAACCUGUUAUUUAGGACAGGGUUACCUGAUUUUGUUGCUUUUCCUCACAAAGUUGCAUCUUAAUUUCUUAACUGUGAGUCAUAGUGCUUUUCAUCUUUCAGACUUUUUCUUGGGUUUAGGACUCAUUUCCUCGCUUUUAUUUGAAAAAGAGAAAAUUUCAGAUCUAAUGCGCAUUCUAUAGGGGUGCAGUCUCAAUUGAGUACACUUGCAGGAAUAAUGAAAGUUCUUGAUCCAAAGCUUCAUCAACACCUUGGUAUGGCUGAUCCUGCUAGAACCUGCGCCAAAGUUAUCCUGCACCUGCAACACACUUUUAAGCCAACAUGUUUGUGAUUAAAAAAUAUUAUGGCAAGGAAACGAUGAAGCUGACAGAAUUGUCUGCAAGUGAUAAACUAGAGCGCUUCUGUGGAUCAAAAGAGUCACAUGGAUUAAUUUAUCAGUAUGGAUGAGCAAAAGACCCCACCUUAGAUGAUGAAGAAUGGUCGCAUAUAUCUGAAAUGCACUCAAGGUAUUCACACAAUCAACACUCAAUUGCAUUUCUUUUAUAGAACAUUAAAUAUUUGAGAUGGAUAGAGCCACUUAAACCAAAUUGUUGUUAUAGUUAAAUUUCUGUUGAACUUGCAAUUUCUGUGGAUAAAGUGACAUUUUGAUUUUACAUGCUUCAUGUCAUGCUAGAGGUAUUUAAUGUUAAGAUAUUUAAAGGGGUGUGAUCAGUCGGACUUUAUCUUUUGUAAGACUAGAACAAUCUUUAUAAAUAGUUAGUUUAUUCAUAUGCUUCUAGCGGUUUCUAAAUUAAUUUGUGUUUUCAUUUUUCAAGUCAGAAUUUCUUGGAGAGAUGCAAAAUAUGCUCAAAGAAUUUAAGAACUUAGUUUUUCAAGUUUUUUCAUUUUUUAAUAAAUAUAAGCACAGUUUUUAAUUCAUUUGUAUAUACUUUUGAACAUAUUUAACUUUCAUUUAUGAAAUAUAUGAUGUCAUUCCAUUCAAUAUGUGGUUGUGAUUCAAAGUAUAGUAUAUAGUGUGUAUUACAUCCUUCAAAUGUGUGUACAAAAAUAAUAUAGAUUAUUCUUCAAAUAUGUCGAACCCUUUUUUCAUCACACGCAUUAACUGUGAUGAGAAAUACAUAUAACGUGUGAUAUUAUCUCAUUAUUAAUCACAAGUUUUAUUAGGUAUUAAUCACACUUAAAAGAUGUGAUCUAAAUGUUUAUUAUCACAUGUUUUAUUAGUUUUUAAUCACACUUAAAAGAUAUGAUCUAAAUGUUAUUAAUCACACUUAAAAUAUGUGAUCUAAAUGUUUAUUAUCACAUGUUUUAUUAGUUAUUGAUCACACUUAAAAUAUGUGACCUAAUUGUUAUUAAUCACACUUAAAAGAUGUGAUGUAAAUAUUUAUUAACACGGGUUUUAUUAGUUUUUAAUCACACUUAAAAGAUGUGAUCUAAAUGUUAUUAAUCACACUUAAAAAGUGUGAUUAAAAAUGACCCUUUUUAAUCACACUCCCAAAGAUCACACUUUGACAAAACUUAAAAAGUGUGAUCAAAGAUUACACAAAAAAAGUGUGAUCUUUAUCUAUUUUUGUAGUAGUGACAUGAGCAGAGCAAUUAUUGAAGAGAAAAUUUAGAAAUGAGUUAUGCUAGAGACACCAAAUAAUCUGUCAAACUUCUCACAUGGGUGUGGUGCCCACACCCAUGUAGAUUCGUGUGAGAUCCAUACACAUGUGAGAGAUUUGGUAGAAAAUUUGUGUCACGACCCAAACCCGCCCUUAUAAGUUUAGCGUCGUAACCGGCCAGUAAUUCUUGGAUUAUCAAAGGCCUCUUAACAAAAUAACAUAUAAUAAGGGCCUACGGAAGCAAAUAUAGAAAAUAUACAAUGUCCAUAGAGUUGUGUUAAUUAGGGCUGGCCAUAGGGUUAUCCGACCCGCCUAAACCGCCCUACCCGAUCCGAACCACACGCAUGUGGGCGGUUUUGCAAACACAUUAGGGUAGGGUGCAGUUUGGAUUUUACAUAAAUUUUGGGUUGCGGGCGGGUUGCGGGUUUGAACCGCACCCGCCCAACCCGCCCACAUUAAAUUAUUAUUAUUUUUUUCAAACAAAUCUAACCGUCCAUCUAUACUUGGUCCUCAUCUAUACUAUACUAAACAAAACAAAAAACCCUAAAUCUAAUCGUCUCCCUCACAUCACUCUCUCAGUCGCCUCUUUCUCUCUCACCCUCUCGUUCAUCUCUGCACCGAUCUCAUUCAUCUCUGCAACGAUCACUCUCUCACUCUCUCGUUGUUCAUCUCAUCGAUUCGUACCGAUCAUCGCACCGCCGAUCUACUCACAGAUCAGUCUCAUCUCUGUCUCUCCCUCUCUCACCCCGAUGGACUCACACUAUCUCACAGUUUAAAUGGAGGAUAGUAUUCAAUCUCUCGCAAUCAAUCUUGUACCUCUGGAAUCCUCUAAUUCUCAAAUGAAUCCUCUCUUAGUCGAACCCGAACCUGAACUUGAACCUAAGCCUCCUAGACUCCCAAAGAGAAAGAGUGAGAGUGGAGGGGGGAGAGCACCAUCUACAGUUUGGGAUCAUUUUGACAAGGUUGUAGGGACCGAUGGGAAGCGUAGAGCUGUAUGUAAAUAUUGUAAGAAAGAGUAUAUGGCUGACUCUAGAACUCAUGGGACUAGUAAUUUGAGGAGUCACCCAAUUGUAAAGAAUAUCCAAAUAGGGAUACAGAUGGUCAACAAACACUAAAUCUUAAACCGAAACAAAAUGAAGAGGGUGUUGAGGUUGUAGCAACAAUUUUUAAUUUUGAUACUUGUAAAAGGGCUCUUGCGGAGAUGUGGUCAUUGAUGAGUUGCCAUUUAGAUUUGUGGAAGGUGUUGGGUUUAGAAGAUUUUGUAAUGUCAUGCAAUCCAAAUUCACACCAAUUCCCUCUCGUCAAACCAUAUCUAGAGAAGUACUCAAUAUAUUCAAGAAUGAAAGGGAUAAGUUAAAGAAGGCCAUGAAGGGUUGUAGAAUUUGCUUUACUACGGACACUUGGAGAUCUAUUCAGAAUUUGUGUUAUAUGUGUUUGACUGCUCAUUUCAUUGAUGAUAACUGGAAACUUCAAAAAAGAAUCAUAAAUUUUCAACAAGUUGAGGAUCACAAAGGAGAAACAUUGGGUCGAAAAAUUGAGUCGUGUUUGAUUGAGUGGAACAUUGAUAGCAUAUUCACCUUAACAGUUGAUAAUGCUAGUUCUAAUAAUCUUACCAUUCAAUAUUUGAAAACGAUAACCAAAGAUUAGAAGGGGACUAUUUUGC